AUAUUAUUUAACGUUGGACUGUUUGGUGAAUUUUUCGUAUAAUGAUAACAAAAAUUUUAUAUUUACAGGACAAUGAGUAUUUUCAUUGAAUUUGAUAUCUUAAUACCUUCAAAAGAUAUUAAUUUAACAGGGCUUUAACUUUCGAUAAGUGUUCACAUAUCGAUGCUAUUAAAUAUUUCCCAGUUGUGAUCGUAUGUAUUGUACGUGACUUGAAAUUUGCCUACAACUACCUUAUUCAAACAAGUAGAUUAUUUCUUUUUCGACAUCCAACCAUUUCUGAUCCCGAUAUUCCGAUAAAUGGAUGAAAAUUAAGAGGAGGACAGAAUUUUUGCGUUUGCCGGUUAAGGAUAUCCAUUAACGUGUCUUCCUGAUGUUAAUCAACAUCUAUCUGAAUAGUGGAGCAAACCGUGAUACACAAAAACUGUAACCUAGUAAAUGUGAUCAGGGAUGCUUUAAGCUGAACAACCAACGAAACGACCAUUUCUUUUAUUUCAGCAACAACUGCAAAGAAACAGAAUGUUUCGAAAGAGCCGAUAUAAAAUCAAAGCUUGGCGAGGUUUGCGCGAUCACAGUUCUUCGAAUCAGUUAUUAGUAAUCCCCAGGAGUUUCACGGAUUGCGGUUAUGAUAAAAAGCGAGUUCUUCCCAGUGUAGAGACGUAAUUGAAAGGAAAAGAAAAAAAGAAGGCGCAUAAGAGAAAAAAGGAGAGAAAAGUACAUCGUAAAAUAAAAUGAAGUCCAUGGUAGUACCGACAUGUUUACACUCCGAUGUCGAGACAUCGUGGCGUACUAUAAAUAAACGAGUCCAUAGGCGCCGCCAAUGUGAGAAGCUUUUUCGAAUAUUGCAUUUUGUCUGGACGAAUGCGAUGGAAACAUUAUAUGUAUACAGGGUAGAACGUACGAAUUAGACACAUUAGUGGAUCCAUUGAAAAUAUUUCUAAAAUUUAUGUACAUGAUACAUACAAAGUUUAAGAAUAUAAUUUCUGCAUUAUUGACAAUCUAUUUACCUCUACUAUAUGUAAACGUAUUCCAACAUUCCAGGAAAAUUUGGUAUACGUGCACAUUAUUGCAGAGUAUCAUUUUCUUUUUUUCUCACACUGGUUCUAGCCAGUCAAUCUAUUGAGAAUUAUGCGACGAACAACUUGUGUCUAUUAAUAACGCUGUAAGAGAGAAAAAAAAAUGGAAUCUUCGUAGAGAUCUUCAAACGCUUCAAUGUCACGGGAAUACCGACGAAGUCUUGUCGUACAGACGAAUUUUUGUUCCUGGUUAUUUCGUAACUGUUUCGUACGUUGAAUCGUUGCUGAUUUGCAAUAAAUGUUUUUUUUUUUUUUAAAAGAUACUUCCAGGAAAAAAUCGAAACCCGAUAGCGAUUUCCAUUUUAUGGAAAUUAGAUUAACCGCAAGACUCUGGCUUCGCGUAACAGCAUAGAUCGACUGGAAAUAUUUGAAGACACGAUUAUUAAUAUAAUGAUAUCUGUAAAUACAGCAUAUAAGUCGCAUAAAUUUUUAUAAAAGAUUGG